UACGAAGGGGGCUAGCGUUGCUCGGAAUUACUGGGCGUAAAGGGCGCGUAGGCGGCCUGUUAAGUCGAACGUGAAAUCCCCGGGCUCAACCCGGGAACUGCGUCCGAUACUGGCAGGCUUGAAUCCGGGAGAGGGAUGCGGAAUUCCAGGUGUAGCGGUGAAAUGCGUAGAUAUCUGGAGGAACACCGGUGGCGAAGGCGGCACCCUGGACCGGCAUUGACGCUGAGGCGCGAAAGCCAGGGGAGCAAACGGG
rnacentral:rRNA from 1 species